GUGGGGAAUCUUAGACAAUGGGGGCAACCCUGAUCUAGCCAUGCCGCGUGAGUGAUGAAGGCCCUAGGGUUGUAAAGCUCUUUUACCCGGGAUGAUAAUGACAGUACCGGGAGAAUAAGCUCCGGCUAACUUCGUGCCAGCAGCCGCGGUAAUACGAGGGGAGCUAGCGUUGUUCGGAAUUACUGGGCGUAAAGCGCGCGUAGGCGGUUUUUUAAGUCAGAGGUGAAAGCCCGGGGCUCAACCCCGGAAUUGCCUUUGAAACUGGAAAACUAGAAUCUUGGAGAGGUCAGUGGAAUUCCGAGUGUAGAGGUGAAAUUCGUAGAUAUUCGGAAGAACACCAGUGGCGAAGGCGACUGACUGGACAAGUAUUGACGCUGAGGUGCGAAAGCGUGGGGAGCAAACAGGAUUAGAAACCCUUGUAGUCC
rnacentral:rRNA from 1 species